rnacentral:misc_RNA from 1 species
UCACCCCUCAAGCCCUGUGCUUGGUGUUGGAGGGCGUUGGUCUUUGGCCAACCCCUCCCAAAGACAAUGACGGCGGCCUGUGGGACCCCCGGUACACUGAGCUUUUAACCGAGCACGUAUUGGAUAAGGGUCCCCAGGACACGGUUUCUCCUCUCUCAAGG